rnacentral:rRNA from 1 species
GCGCAGCAGUCGCGAAUUUUUCUCAAUGGGGGCAACCCUGAAGGAGCGACGCCGCGUGGAGGAUGAAGGCUUUCGGGUUGUAAACUCCUGUCAUUUGAGAACAAGUGUAGCCAAGUAACUACUGGCUACUUGAUAGUAUCAGAAGAGGAAGGGACGGCUAACUCUGUGCCAGCAGCCGCGGUAAUACAGAGGUCCCAAGCGUUGUUCGGAUUCAUUGGGCGUAAAGGGUGCGUAGGUGGCGUGGUAAGUCGGGUGUGAAAUUUCGGAGCUUAACUUCGAAACUGCGUUCGAUACUGCCGUGCUUGAGGACUGGAGAGGAGACUGGAAUUUACGGUGUAGCAGUGAAAUGCGUAGAGAUCGUAAGGAAGACCAGUGGCGAAGGCGGGUCUCUGGACAGUUCCUGACACUGAGGCACGAAGGCUAGGGGAGCAAACGGGAUUAGAUACCCCGGUAGU